AGUGAACGCUGGCGGUAGGCCUAACACAUGCAAGUCGAACGGCAGCACAGAGGAGCUUGCUCCUUGGGUGGCGAGUGGCGGACGGGUGAGGAAUACAUCGGAAUCUACUCUGUCGUGGGGGAUAACGUAGGGAAACUUACGCUAAUACCGCAUACGACCUACGGGUGAAAGCAGGGGAUCUUCGUACCUUGCGCGAUUGAAUGAGCCGAUGUCGGAUUAGCUAGUUGGCGGGGUAAAGGCCCACCAAGGAGACGAUCCGUAGCUGGUCUGAGAGGAUGAUCAGCCACACUGGAACGGAGACACGGUCCAGACUCCUACGGGAGGCAGCAGUGGGGAAUAUUGGACAAUGGGCGCAAGCCUGAUCCAGCCAUACCGCGUGGGUGAAGAAGGCCUUCGGGUUGUAAAGCCCUUUUGUUGGGGAAGAAAUCCAUCUGGUUAAUACCCGGGUGGGAUGACGGUACCCAAAGAAUAAGCACCGGCUAACUUCGUGCCAGCAGCCGCCGUAA
rnacentral:rRNA from 1 species